GGCACACAGACAUCACCUUGGGCCAC
rnacentral:piRNA from 1 species